rnacentral:rRNA from 1 species
AGAGUUUGAUCAUGGCUCAGAUUGAACGCUGGCGGCAGGCCUAACACAUGCAAGUCGAACGGUAACAGGAAGAAGCUUGCUUCUUUGCUGACGAGUGGCGGACGGGUGAGUAAUGUCUGGGAAACUGCCUGAUGGAGGGGGAUAACUACUGGAAACGGUAGCUAAUACCGCAUAACGUCGCAAGACCAAAGAGGGGGACCUUCGGGCCUCUUGCCAUCGGAUGUGCCCAGAUGGGAUUAGCUAGUAGGUGGGGUAACGGCUCACCUAGGCGACGAUCCCUAGCUGGUCUGAGAGGAUGACCAGCCACACUGGAACUGAGACACGGUCCAGACUCCUACGGGAGGCAGCAGUGGGGAAUAUUGCACAAUGGGCGCAAGCCUGAUGCAGCCAUGCCGCGUGUAUGAAGAAGGCCUUCGGGUUGUAAAGUACUUUCAGCGGGGAGGAAGGGAGUAAAGUUAAUACCUUUGCUCAUUGACGUUACCCGCAGAAGAAGCACCGGCUAACUCCGUGCCAGCAGCCGCGGUAAUACGGAGGGUGCAAGCGUUAAUCGGAAUUACUGGGCGUAAAGCGCACGCAGGCGGUUUGUUAAGUCAGAUGUGAAAUCCCCGGGCUCAACCUGGGAACUGCAUCUGAUACUGGCAAGCUUGAGUCUCGUAGAGGGGGGUAGAAUUCCAGGUGUAGCGGUGAAAUGCGUAGAGAUCUGGAGGAAUACCGGUGGCGAAGGCGGCCCCCUGGACGAAGACUGACGCUCAGGUGCGAAAGCGUGGGGAGCAGACAGGAUUAGAUACCCUGGUAGUCCACGCCGUAAACGAUGUCGACUUGGAGGUUGUGCCCUUGAGGCGUGGCUUCCGGAGCU